rnacentral:sRNA from 1 species
UAAGAGUAUUGAUGUGCCAAAGUACAUAGAUGAAUACUUUAUCUCUUUGAAAUCUCAAGUCGCGAUUUCGUGGCUGUUAAGUUAUCUUCUCUCCGUUUUACUUUAAGUGUCAUUUAAAAUUUUUACAAAAAAUUAUUAAAAACAUUAUAAUUUCUAUUAUACCCUUACAAUCUAGAUGACUCUUGAUUUUGAUAAGG